CUCUCUCUCUCUUUCUCUCUAUCUAACUAUCUUACCCUAUAUUGUUUUGAAGGUGAAGAGAAGAGUUGAAAAGGCAAUGAAGAGGAGAGAGAUGCCGUCCUUCGCCUAGGAAGGUGGCAGCAAAACCUGGGCCUAAGAGAUUUCCAUCUUCGUCCAAUCAGAAUCCAAAAGGGAGGUGAAACUAUCUUCAAUAUUGCCUGUCUUCCAUGUGUCUGGCCUUACGAGAACUCCUCUCUCUCAUUUUUAUAAGGCAACAUAUCUUUCUGAAUCCAACUAAUUGGAAAAGAACUAGAUGCGUCAUACUGAUUGCUUUGGUUUGCGUUGGUAGAAAAGUUUUGUAUUCUAUGAUCUGUUCUCUUUUUGUUUGAUUAAUGCUUGCUUCGGCUUGCCUUGGUUGCUUAAGUGAUAGUUAUUCUUUCUUGCCCAA